CAUUAAGUGUGAUUUAUUUUACAGCCUGUCUCCAUAUCGCCUGUGUGAUACAGAAAGUGGACCUUAAACAGUGGCUGGCCGAGUGUAAUGUUGAUAUGGAUAAGAUAUUAGAAAUUUCAAGACAGAUACUUGCGUUGUAUGAAUUAUGGAAAAAUUACGAUGAGAAAAAGGACAUUGCUGGAAUACUUGAGAAAAUGCCGAAGCCAAAGACAAGUCCUACAACGGGCCACGAUAGCUCCGUUGGUUAAACCACCAGUGACGUUACCUCAGAUGAAGAUAAGAGGACUCCAACAACAGCAGGACCUGACGGCUCCCAACAGUUACAGCAGAAUCAACAUCAGUAACAGCUUGGCUCUGAUUGGUCCUUUAUAGGCCAAUCAAAAAGCUGGUCUGAUUCUUUGUCUUCACAACCUGACUAUUACAUCUUUGUGUAGAAACAAGCUAUCUGAUGUGGUUGUGGUAGACAGCAAAAACAAUUUUCACUCCUUCGUCAAAAUGUCAGAAGGAUGUUAAAUUAUGACUUCAUAAUUGUAUCAGAUUUGUUCUGAUAUAAUUACAGCUACCAUUUAAAAUGAAUGAAAUUUUUCAUCAAUUUCACCGAGAAGUUUUUAAUUUGUCAAUUUAAUAACACUACUGAUAUUGACCAAAGAUGAUGUACAAACACUGGACCAUUGUAAAGAGUAGUGUUUAUUACUAAGAACACAAUUAUUUAUGUGGAAUCUGAGAUAAGUUCAACAUUUGUAGCAGAGUUAUUCCCCUUGAUAUAAUCUACCUAUGUACCACAUGUAUUGAAUGGGAAAGUGUUUAUAACAGAUGUCUACAUUCCGCAGACAAUGGUGCUCAAAGUCACUUUUAAUUCAUAAAUAUUCAUAACUAGGAAAGUGUUCUUGUGGGAAAAAUCCACAUUCAACGUGAAAAUAACAGACAGUAUAUAUUGAUAUUGGUAGGAGGGACGAGUAUGAAUUAAUGUUGAUAGAAUCAUUCCUUUGAAGCCAUAGACCGACAGUUGAACACACAGAGGCUGAUCGCAGGUACCUAUCGUAGUGAUUCACAUCUACACCCUCUCAUAUAUCCAUUUGUACUUGGGCAUUUCUGCUUGACUAUUGUAUAAUGUACGACAAUCCUCAUUGUUAGGACAUUUUUACUGUCAAUUAUCAUAUUUAUAUAAUUAUUGAAUAAAGCAUGUUUUGCUUCAUAGUGAUUUAUAUUCCUUGAUUAAAUCCAAGCAAAUUUUACAUAUGAUAUGGGUUGAUAGAAUGAAUGAAAUAUACACUAUUGAAUACAUGUACUUGAGACAGUAGCCCGAGUUUCCUCUGGCCCUGACACUGUGUCUAGUGUAGGGCCAGAGCACACUACUUUAUGAAAAAGUGGAAUUAUCCGACACCGUUUGGUGUCGCUAAGAAUUUGGUGCAAAUACAAUAAAAUCGGGUGUGACAUAACCCCUAUCUUACAUAUAUGGAGAAAUGAGAUAUUUAUUUACCCCAGAACACCCAUUUAGUCCCAUCUAGGUGUUUUAUUCCGUCCAUAUGGACCCUCGCUUUACUACAUAGUUAGCAAUAUGGCGUUGUGUCAAGAAAAUUUGACUAGCGUAAAGCAAGGGUCUAUAUGGACAGAAUAAAACACCCAGAUGGGACUAAAUGGGUGUUCUGGGGUAAAUAAAUACAUAAUGUACCUCAUUUCUCCAUAUAUGUUAGGUAGGUGUUAUACCACACCCGAUUCUUAGCGACACCAAACGGUGUCGGAUAAUUCUAUGUUUUCAUAUAGUAGUGUGCUCUGGCCCUACACCAGACAUGGUGUCAGGGACAGAAGAUAAUGUCUCUGCUCACAAAUGUAAAGGAUUUUGUCAGAAAAUAUGUAGUGGAUGGUUGUCAGUAUUUCUAGUAGGUUCUCAGUACCUGUAUGAACUAGAGUACUUGUUUAUAAAUCAGGACUCAACAGUAAACAGCAUACAUGUUCCACAAACUCAACAGUUAUGAUAAUGACAGACAUGCUUUAUUUAAGGCUAUUUUUUUUCUUGAUUACCUGUCUGCUCAAAUGUAAUCCUAAAUUCUACUUCACUUCAAGUAUUGUACAUUAAUUUUAUACAUUAAUUUUAUACAUUAAUUUUCUCCAAAUUACCCUGGUAUAAUCGUUUAAUUACAUGUUAGUAGGAAGUAUCAGAUCUGUAAAUAGACUCAAAAAGAGUAUAACUGCAAUACUUCAAAUAUUAUGUGUUUAAUAAAGGAACUUAAAUCUGGUACUUGUUACUAUGACCAGCUCCAGGAUUAUGGAACAACUUUAGACUUAAAGUAAGUUUUGCUUAGCCAGUCAGUAUGACAUCACUUUUGAUGACAUAAGCUGUGAUUGGCUAAAUCAAAACUUUAGACAAACUUUAGACUUAAGGUCGUGUUCAUUAAGUGUUAGAUGGCUGACUAUACAGGUAUAUAUAUUGUAAUAAAAAUCUAAACAAA